UGGGGGAUAUUGGUCAAUGGGGGGAACCCUGAACCAGCGACGCCGCGUGAGGGAAGAAGGUUUUCGGAUUGUAAACCUCUGUCCUCGGUGAAGAUAAUGACGGUAGCCGAGGAGGAAGCUCCGGCUAACUACGUGCCAGCAGCCGCGGUAAUACGUAGGGAGCAAGCGUUGUCCGGAAUUACUGGGUGUAAAGGGAGCGUAGGCGGGAAUGCAAGUUGAAUGUCUAAACUAUCGGCUCAACCGAUAAUCGCGUUCAAAACUGCAUUUCUUGAGUGAAGUAGAGGUAGGCGGAAUUCCCAGUGUAGCGGUGAAAUGCGUAGAUAUUGGGAGGAACACCAGUGGCGAAGGCGGCCUACUGGGCUUUAACUGACGCUGAGGCUCGAAAGCGUGGGUAGCAAACAGG
rnacentral:rRNA from 1 species